CUGCUCAGGUCGGGCUGGGUAUCGGUCGGCGGGUGAUACAGCACAGGAUUCAGCCUACAGUAUUCCUUGAUACUUCUUUUCAGCACUUCCAACAGAUACUGUGAUCUUCUGAAGAAAGGUUUGAUACUGGCCAUUGACCAUUUUCAGAAUGCCCUAAAACCCUAGAACUUCUUGUUCCAUUUGUCUGUUUAUAUGACUUUGUUUAUGUUUUGGUUUAGUGGACUUUGUGCUUUUGUACUUGUGGCAUUGAAAACCCCCAUUGAUUUCAAUGCUACAUCUGUCUCAAAUUAAAUGAAAACCAGAGA